GACGGGGCCGCACAAGCAGCGGAGCGUGUGGUUUAAUUCGAUGCAACGCGAAGAACCUUACCAGGUUUGACAUGCUUAAAGUAGAAACUCGAAAGAGGACGACCUGUAUCCAGUCAGGAAUUUGCACAGGUGCUGCAUGGCUGUCGUCAGCUCGUGCCGUGAGGUGUUAGGUUAAGUCCUGCAACGAGCGCAACCCUUGUCGCUAGUUAUUUUCUCUAGCGAUACUGCCCGUAUAACGUGGAGGAAGGUGGGAUGACGUCAAGUCAGCAUGGCCCUUACAUCCUGGGCUACACACACGCUACAAUGGGUGAUACAAUAGGUUGCGAUAGAGCGAUCUGGAGCCAAUCCCAGAAAACCUGUCUCAGUCCGGAUUGAAGUCUGCAACUCGACUUCAUGAAGGCGGAAUCGCUAGUAACCGCGAAUCAGCAGGUCGCGGUGAAUACGUUCCCGGGCCUU
rnacentral:rRNA from 1 species